GAUGAAGAACGUAGCGAAAUGCGAUACGUAAUGUGAAUUGCAAAUUCAGUGAAUCAUCGAGUCUUUGAACGCACAUUGCGCCCCCUGGUAUUCCGGGGGGCAUGCCUGUCCGAGCGUCAUUGCUGCCCUCAAGCACGGCUUGUGUGUUGGGCCCCGUCCUCCGAUCCCGGGGGACGGGCCCGAAAGGCAGCGGCGGCACCGCGUCCGGUCCUCGAGCGUAUGGGGCUUUGUCACCCGCUCUGUAGGCCCGGCCGGCGCUUGCCGAUCAACCCAAAUUUUUAUCCAGGUUGACCUCGGAUCCGGUAGGGAUACCCGCUGAACUUAAGCAUAUCAAUAAGCGGAGGA
rnacentral:misc_RNA from 1 species